UCGCCUGUUUAUCAAAAACAUAGCCUAUUGNNAAAUUAUACUAAAUGAAUUCUGCCCAGUGUUUUAAUAAAUGGCCGCAGUACCCUGACUGUGCUAAGGUAGCAUAAUCAAUUGGCUUUUAAUUGAAGUCUGGAAUGAAUGAAAUAAUGGAGGAAUGCUGUCUUAAAAGUAUUAAUUUAAAUUUAUUUAAAAGGUGAAAAUACCUUUUUUUAAAAAAAAGACGAGAAGACCCUAAGAAUUUUUAGAUUAAUUUUCAAAAUUAAAUCUUUUUGUUGGGGCGACAGAUUAGAAAAACUAAACCUAAUUUUUUAAAUUGGCGAAUUUUUUAAGUAAUAAAAAAUUACCUUAGGGAUAACAGCAUAUUGUAAAAUUUUUUAUGUUUGUGACCUCGAUGUUGGACUAGGAACUUUAUGGCUAGCAGUCAGAAAAGAUUUAUUCUGUUCGAAUUANNNNAUCCU
rnacentral:rRNA from 1 species